GCAGUGCAAGUGGGGCAUGCUCCGUUGAGACUUUAUUCACUCUGGGCAGCUUUGUUGGGGCUUAGGUGGUCAGCUCACAAUGAAUCAUACGCUUCUUUUGUCCCUUCCUGCCUAUCUGUAAGUAAAAAUCUGCUUCAUAUAUUAUGUGUGUGAGUGCGUUCUGUCUCAACAGACUCAGGCAAAUAGUAAUUAGUGAACCUGCUUCACAGAUGCUAAGAAGCUAAAAGGUUAAGCAGCGAUGUCAGUGUUGUCAGGGAGCUGUGGAGACUGGAAUUGAAGUCCAGAGUCUUUCAUGGGAGACAGCUCAGGCAAAAGAACAUGUUACUACAUAAAACACCUAAGAGCUGUAAGGAAUUAGAGUUAAUCAACUUCUUGGUUCAUUCAGGUCCUGAACUUUGGUCAACAUUUGGAGAAGGGUAUAGAGGUCAUAAAGUACAUGAACUCCUGCUGGAAAGAUCAGCUCCCAGAAAUCUGUCAGCUGUUCCAUUUAAUGACCUAGUUGCUAAUUAUUUUCUUUUGAAGCCAUUAUCGUGAAACAGUAUGUACAAAGACUGCAGAAGGGAAGUUAUAACACUGCCUCGGAAGAUUUGCUGCCAUCCUGUACCUGAUUGGAAAGAGUAGAAGUUGAAAUAGAGGCUGAGCUAUUGCCACAAAUAAGGUCUGAUAUAAGAUAAUCGAAAAAUGUACUGGUACUAUUACUCGUGAAGUUCAAGAUGACAGAUUAUUACACAAUAUAUGACAUGGAUAAAACAUAUUCUCAGGUCAGAUCAUGUUAUGAUGGAAAGAGCUUGAUUUUCCUUUCACCAGGACAACUUUGGCAUAAAAAAAUAAAACUGGCCUUAAAAGUAACUUCACUUGUAAGUUUAAGAGGGAGGGGAGUUGAAGAGUUUAAGAGGGAAUGGUGAGGUUUUACUUUCUGGUUACCUAUGAAAAGUGUUACAUAAUUUGAGUAGUAUAAUCUAGGACAAAUUAAAUACAUUUAUUUCUGAUAAUUAGAUUCACUUUUUGAAUUACGUAACUUUAAAUAAGUAGAAGUAUUUGAAAACAGCGCAGCUGUUUAUUCAUCUGUCCGCUUUUUUAACACCUUACAAGAUAAAUGAAUACACACAAGGUAAUGAGCAUAGUCAUAUAGCUUAAGUGCAUUUCCUAUAUGAACUUCAAGGAAGUUGAAAGACACCUUAGACAUUUUUAUAGUCCAAAUUAAUCUUCAAAAUUGCUCUUUGACUUAUGUCAAAACAAUUUCUUUUUAGAAAAAUUAUUUACAAUAUUAAAUUGAGAACAGUGGAUGCAAUAUAUCAAAUUUUGAAAUCCCUUUCAAGUUAACAGAAACCGUGCAAGAAGAUGCCCUAUAAAAUAUCAACUAUGUAUCUAUAAUCUAAACUAAAUAUUCAAGUUACUAGUCCAGUGAUUCUUUUUGGACAGCUAUUGCACUCAGCCUACUGGCUUGAUGGAGAGUAUACAUAGUGAUGUAAAACAUACCUCUUAUAUUCCUUUGAACCUAAAAGCCCAAAAAUUACAACUAUGAGAGAGAAUAUUUCCAAUCCUUAACAAAUAUUUAUGGAAAAUGGAUUGGGUGUUAAACACAGUAUUUGGCAGUUUGGGGAAUGAUAUGAUUCAAAUUCAUGAAAUAAAUAUGAUAAUGUCUCACUUUGCAAGAAAUUUCUUCUCCUGUAACUUCAUUAAGAUUAUAGCUAACCAGAAAAUAAAAAGUCAGCACCUUCACAACUUCAUAUACUAUAGUCAACACGAAUCCAAGCAUUUCUAUCAUUAGACAGAACUACAAGAUGAUUUAUUAGACAGCAGAUUCAAUUUACAGCAGAUUGGAAACAGCUAACUAGAUGGUGAUGUUUAGGAAAAGAUUAUUGUUACAGAUACUGUUCAUUCAACAUAUUUAUUUUAUGUAGAGUUUACGCAUGCAUAAGAAAACUUUCUGGAGUGAUGGAAGCGUUCUAAAUUAGAUUGUGGUUCAAAAUGGAUUAAAUACUUAAAUGUAAGAUCUGAAACUAUAAAAUUACUAGAGGUAAACAUAGGAAAAAAACUUCAUGGCCGGGCGCGGUGGCUCAAGCCUGUAAUCCCAGCACUUUGGGAGGCCAAGACGGGCGGAUCACGAGGUCAGGAGAUCGAGACCAUCUUGGCUAACCCGGUGAAACCCCGUCUCUACUAAAAAAUACAAAAAACUAGCCGGGCGAGGUGGCCGGCGCCUGUAGUCCCAGCUACUCGGGAGGCUGAGGCAGGAGAAUGGCGUAAACCCGGGAGGCGGAGCUUGCAGUGAGCUGAGAUCCGGCCACUGCACUCCAGCCUGGGCGACAGAGCGAGACUCUGUCUCAAAAAAAAAAAAAAAAAAACUUCAUGACAUUUUUAUGGGCAAUAAUUAUUUUGGAUAUGACCCCAAAAGCACAGGCAACAGAAGUGAAAAUGGGCAAAUGGGAUUGCAUAUAAAUAAAAAGCUUCUGUACAGCAAAGGAAACAAUUGACAGAAUGGAGAGAAAAUUUACAAAAUGGGAAAAAAUUUUACAAACAUACUUGUAAUAAGGGGUUAACGCCCAAAAUAUGUAAGGAAUUCAACUAAAUAGUAAGAAAUCAAAUAACCUAAUUUUUAAAGUGGGCAAAUAACCUGAGUAGACAUUUCUAAAUAGCCAAUAUAAAAUGAAAAUGUAUGAAAAUGCUCAGCAUCACUAAUCAUCAGGAAAAUGCACAUUAAAACAACAAUUAGAUGUCCUCACACUUGUUAGUAUGACUAUUAUUAAAAAGACAAAGUUAACGGAUAUCUCUGGGGGUGUUAAGAAAAGUCAACCCUUGUACACUGUUGGUGGGAAUAAAAAUUGGUACAGCCGUCAUGAAAAAAUAUAAAGGUUCCUCAAAAAAUUAAAAAUAGAACUACAUAUGAUCCAGCAGUGUCACUACUGAGCACAUAUUCAAAGAAAAUAAUAUCAGUAUGUCAAAGAUAUAUCUUGACUUCCAUGUUUAUUUCAGCAUUCACAAUAUUUAAGAUAUGGAAUCAACCUAAGUGUCCAUUGAUAGACGAACGGAUAAAGAAGAUGUGGUAAAUACAGUCGUCAUUGACAUAUAAAAAAGAUUGGUUUCAGGACCCCUUGAAUAUCAAAAUCUGUGGAUGCUCAAGUCUCUCAUAUAAAAGGGUAUAGUCAGAGAAAUGACAGAUACUUGAGGUGAUGGACACCCCAAUGCCCUGACUUCAUCAUUACACCAUCUUUGCAUGUCACAAAAUAUCACAUAUACCCUGUAUCACCUGCAUUAAUAUUAUGUAUCCAUAAAAAUGGUACAAUUUUGCAUAUUACCUAGGGACAUUCUCCUGUAAAUUAUGUGUAUAUUAUUUAUAAUACCUAACAUAGUAUAAAUACUAUGUAAAUAGUUCUUACACUUGUUUUAAUUUGUAUUUUGUAUUGUUUUGUUGUUAUUUUUAAACGCCUUUUCCUAAUAGUUUUGAUCUGGGUUUGGUUCAAUUGUGGACAUGGAGUCUGAAGAUACAGAAGAUCGACUGUGUACACGAUGAAAUGCUAUUCAGCCUUUAAAGUGAGCUAAAUUUGUUGUGACAACCUAGAAGAUAUUAUGUGAAGCAAAAUACCCAGACACAGAAAAACAAAUACCUCGUGAUCUCACUUGCAUGAGAAAUCUGAAAAAAAUUGAACUCCAAGAAACAGAUAUUAGAACAGUGGUUACUAGGGGCUGGAUAAGGUGUUGGUCAAAGAUACAAAAUUUUUGAUAGAUAAAAGGACUAAGUUCAAGAGAUCUAUUAUAUAACAUGGUGACAAUAGUUAACACAAUUUAUUGUAUUCUUAAAAAUCAUUAGCACAGUAGAAUUUAAGUGUUCUUACCAGAAAAAAACAAGUAUGUGAGGUUAUGAAUAUAUUAUUUAGCUCGAUUUAGCCAUUCCACAAUAUAUACAUAUCUCAGGUAUUUUGUACAUGAUAAUAUGUACAAUUUUUUGUCAAUUUAAAAUAAUAAAAAUUAAAACUAGAUUGUAGUGAUAGCUACAUAAUUGUACAAAUUUGCUAAAUUUCAGCAAACUGUACAGUUAUAGUGAAGGAAUUUUAUGUUAUGCAUGUUUAUAUGUAAAUAAAAUUAUAAGAACAGAUAUUUGGGGAGUGUUGAUGGAUAGAUAAUGGUAUGGUUAGAUGAUGACAUAUGCAGUAAAAUAAGCAUAUAAAAUGUUGAUGGCAGAAUCUAGAUAAAGGGUUUAUGAAUUGUCACUAUAUAUUUUAUCAUUUUUUGCAUGCUUGAGAAAUUUUAUAGUUUUUUUGGGAAAAUAAAGCACAAUUAGUAGCAAUUAUUAGGAAUAAUAACUCCAUUUCAUGGUUUAAACCAAGUGGAAACUCUACAGUAAAUCAGUUACUUAAAAGAAAAUCAGUGUGACCGCUCUGGUUGAGUUUCUAAAAUAAUGUUUCCUAUUAAAUAUCAUGAAGUGUCAGGACAUUUUUGAGAACAGUCUGAGCCUGGUCUGUGGCAGGAAAUGUAGAAGAUGAACCUGGAAGAUCUAUCCCAAAUGACAAGGAACCUAUUGAAAACUACUAUAGCCAUAUCAAAAUAGCAAAGGUUUACCAAGUCUAGCCAACUGGAAGAGGGCCCAGUGGCCACAUAUAGACCAAUUUUUCACGUUAAUAUGAAAUUGUAAUAGGUUGGAACUCAGUAAAUAUGUUUAAAC
rnacentral:lncRNA from 1 species